rnacentral:pre_miRNA from 13 species
UGUGCACUGAGAGCAUCCACACUCCCGUGUCCACUAGGAGGCAGGUUUUCUGACACAGGCUGUGGGAUUCAGGACAGCACAUCAUGCAGA